GACCGAGGGUGCAAACGUUGUUCGGAAUUACUGGGCGUAAAGCGCGUGUAGGCUGCUCUGCAAGUCGGGUGUGAAAGCCCCGGGCUCAACCUGGGAAGUGCACUCGAAACUGCAGAGCUCGAGUCCUGGAGAGGAAGGCGGAAUUCUCGGUGUAGAGGUGAAAUUCGUAGAUAUCGAGAGGAACACCGGUGGCGAAGGCGGCCUUCUGGACAGUGACUGACGCUGAGACGCGAAAGCGUGGGGAGCAAACAGG
rnacentral:rRNA from 1 species